rnacentral:lncRNA from 1 species
UGUACUUAUUCUAAGCAUUUCUAUUUUAUUUUAGACUCAUUUAUAUUUAUUCUAAAGAUAUUUAUAUUUAUCCUAUUCGAAGUUUAUGUUUAUCCCACAUAGUUUAUAUUUAUCAUGGGGAGACAAAAAGUGGCCUAUUCCAUCCAUUCAUAUUAACGAUCAUCAUUAAUAUGGAUGGAAUAGGCUACUUUCCAUCCUUCCUUGAUAAAUAUAAACUAUAUAGGAUAAACACAAGCAAU